GAACAAGAUGGAAGCCCCAAACAAAAGAGAACCCAAACUUUUAUUAGCUGCUAAUCCCCAUGUUACACCCCCCAAACUACAUCACUCAUACAUCAUGGUAAGGGGAAGUCUGGUGGCAGUAAUCUGAGCAUCCUGGACCCUGCCCCAUGGUUCUCCUUGCCCUCCACCAAACACACAUGGAGUGUAACAAAAUAGAUAUUUACAUUUCCCUGUUUCCCAGCGAAGUCAAUCACACCCUUUUGUCUUCGUCUGGGUUUGUUAUUUUGGGAAUGGCAACCUGUCCAGCACUCAGGUAUCAGGAUGCCAGGGAUUAUCACUCAGGCAGAGGGGCUGCUGAGUAGCUGAGCUCACAUGUCUAUAUGAAUUUCUGAAGUUUUCCCAGUGAGCCAGUACACAGAUACCUUUAUCAGUGAAUUCGUACAUUUGGUAUUGUGCAGCAGAGGCCCUUUGAGCAGAUAGGAAGAAACUGUGAUGAAGUGUUUUGUGGGGACAAGUCACAAACGUCACAAAAGUGAUGGUGCUGAUUUUGGUAGUGGGCUGCAUGUGCAUGAUAUCUGCUGCAGGGGCAACCCCCCCCCCAAAAAAAACUAUACAUAAAUUCCUGCAACAGUUUGCCUUCCAAUGUCCGGCUAUACCUCUUGGCUCGUCCUCCAAACUUUGCUGGGGGGCUGUGUUCCCCCUCCCAAAGCAGGGACACACUCUUAGCACCUGAACGCUGUACCACCUCAUUGCUGCUGCCGGGGGUGAGAGGGUUUAUAUAGUGGUGGGUGGUGCCCUUUUGGAAUAUUUGGCCAAUAAGUGAGGCGGGGAAUCCCUCAAGGGGCGGAGCAGCAGCUGAUUUGCUACCUGUGCUAUGACACCCUCCUCUCAGCUGAGCAGGUGCCCUGGGGGGACCUCAGAGGGGAGGUCUGGUGGCAGGAAUCUGAGCAUCCUGGACCCUGCCCCAUGGUUCCCCUUGCCCUCCACCAAACACCCAUUGAGUGUAACAAAAGAGAUUGCUGGAGGCAGGGGUGGGACCUGUUGGCCCUGAAUAUCUGGAUUGGCUAAGCAGAUGAAAUGGGUAGAAGCAUCUCACCCAGUGGGAAGGCAGCCAUAUCGACUAUGGCAGGCAUAGGCAAACUCGGCCCUCCAGAUGUUUUGCGACUACAAUUCCCAUCAUUCCUGACCACUGGUCCUGUUAGCUAGGGAUGAAGGCAGUUGUAGUCCCAAAACAUCUGGAGGGCCGAGUUUGGGGGUGCCUGCACUAUGGGUUGUGGACUCUGCAUCUUUGGCGGUCUUCACAUACCUGUCAACUGUCCUGCUUUGAGGGGGACGUCCUGCAAUUCCAGAAGCCACCCUGACUUCUGAUUGGCUCCCAGGGUGUCCUGUUUUGGCUCCCGUGAAACUGUGGCCCCAAAAGACGCCCAUUUUGGGGGGGUCCUUGCUCUCGCGUGAUUUACGGGACUCAUUCAGGAGCGUGGCCCCAAAAGUCGCAGGUCCCAAUUUCCCUCUGCAACAUGUUGGAGUGUAGGCAGAGUUUGGGAGGACCACUCUCUUCAUAUUCUAUGGCUGUGGGUGACAGGAGAAAGAGUGGACGAUGUCAGAAUCUUCGGGGGGCCAACAGAGGAGCCUCCCUUGGAUGAAUCACCACAGCCCCAUAGUGGCCGUAAAAGCAGGUGAGCAGUGAGUCUCCCCUCAAGUUUUAGAAGGAGUGCUGCAUUACUCGGCUGUCUCACAGGAUGCUUUUUAGUAUGUAUUUAUCAUUGUUGUUCUGUAUUGUGCUUUUAAUGUUGUACACCGCCCUGGGAUAUUCUGAUAAAGGUUGGUAUAUAAAUUGAAUAAAUACUACUAAUACUACUACUAUUACUACUACUUCCACAGCACUAUAAGUUCCUUGUUUUUAUGUUAUAAAGGGCUCUGAGUUCCGCCUUCUGGAGUGCCAAGUCUUUUUGAGAGAACUGCUGUGGAGCUGAGAUGAAGGAGGAGUGACCAUUUCCUCUCCACCCAGCAGAGGUGUGGAACUCCAGGAAGACACAACCUGAAAGACAGUGCGCUAUUUUAUUAAUUUUUUUUAUAACUCCUGCUUAUGUUAUAUGAUGUUAUAAUGUAUUGUAAUUUUCAUAAAAUGUAUACAUUGCUUGAUUGUAAAAACACACAAACACACUCUUUCGUCUCCCAUUCUAACAGAAUACCGUAUGUGCCUUUCAGCAGUUGGAAUCAAAGUCUCUCCUGUAUUUGUCAAAGGAUUCUCUGAAAUUCUGAUGUUAGCCUGUAUCUCCUUUUCAUGUAUGUAAAGCAAAUGCCCUCUGGGAAUUCCCAUUUGUAUCUAAUGUCAGCUCUUCUGAGUGCUAUUGUUAAAUAUCUAUAUUUGGUUCUUCUAAGUCUCAAUUUCAGUGGAAUCUCUCUAAAGAUAUCUACUUUCUGUUCGGCAACCACAUGAUUUUUUUCAAAAACUGUUCUGAAGGAUUGCGUCCUUCACUCUUUUUGUUACUAGUGUUAAUAAAACAUCUCCUGGCUGCCUCCGUUCUCAAUUUUCAUGCAAUUUAAUUCUGAAACAGCUCUCUGAAAGCCCAUCCAACCAAUCUUUGCUUUCUCCCAGCCAUUCUGAAAUUGUCUGUGUGACAUAUGUCUCCAAAUUUGGCUCUGAAUCAGAUUCUGGAAGGCCUCUGUCAGGUAGACUUUAACUUAUUACUUCAGCUAAAUGUCACAGGAUUAAACAAGGUACUACAGUGGUACCUUGGGUUACAAACGCUUCAGGUUACAUACGCUUCAGGCUACAGACUCUGCUACCCCAGACAUAGUAAAAGUCUUCGCCGUCGCUAUCAUCACUUGGUAGGCUCGACAUUGAGCUCUAACCCGUAUCCGGUCAGCUUCAGAAUGGGUUAUCUGCCACCGGCGCUCUAGUCGUCGUUAACUCCACAUUUCAGCGGGCCACCAGGAAUCAGCUGAAAGGCCAUCAACAUGGGAUAAAACAUCCCCUACCUCUCUCUGGAAACCAUUUGGAUCCAUUAAGGGGCGGACCAUCUGAAUCGGUCCCACCUCCCUGCAGAGGGGAAGGUUCACGGAGAAGUCCAGUUGCACCAGGAAGUGAUCUGACCAUGGCACUUCUUUAGUUUCGCUUUUACUUAGUGUCAGAUCACCCACGUCGCUAGAGGUGAACACCAGGUCUAAGGUAUGUCCACGGCUAUGAGUUGGGCCAAACAUAUUCAGGGACAGCCCCAUGGAGGCCAUGCUUUCCACAAAGUCCCAAGCGGACUUGUAAGGUCAUGUCGGCGUAGAUGUUAAAAUCCCCUAGGAAAACCAAACUAGGUGUCUCCAGGAGAACAUCUGCCAUGACCUGGAGCAGCUCAGGCAGGGAAUCCUUGGUGCAGUGGGGAGGUCGGUACACCAAAAGGAAUCCUGUACUGCCCCUAUUGCCCAACUUUCAGAACAUGCACUCAGAGAACUGGGUCUUCCCAAUAGGACGCCUGCUCCACCAAAAGGAAUCCUGUACUGCCCCUAUUGCCCAACUUU